CAGGACGACGCUGGCGGCGUGCCUAAUACAUGCAAGUCGAACGGUCUUUCUAUGGAAGCUUGCUUCCACUGAGAAGAUAGUGGCGAACGGGUGAGUAACGACGUGGGUAACCUGCCCAUAAGAGGGGGGAUAACAUCCGGAAACGGGUGCUAAUACCGCAUAGUUUUCUUGAUCGCAUGAUCGGAAAGGAAGACGGCCUUUGUGCUGUCGCUUAUGGAUGGACCCGCGGCGUAUUAGUUAGUUGGUGAGGUAACGGCUCGACCAAGACGAUGAUACGUAGCCGACCUGAGAGGGUGAUCGGCCACAUUGGGACUGAGACACGGCCCAAACUCCUACGGGAGGCAGCAGUAGGGAAUCUUCCGCAAUGGACGAAAGUCUGACGGAGCAACGCCGCGUGAGUGAAGAAGGUUUUUCCGGAUCGUAAAACUCUGUUGUCAGAGAAGAACAAGUUGGAGAGUAACUGCUCCAGCCUUGACGGUAUCUGACCAGAAAGCCACGGCUAACUACGUGCCAGCCGCAGC
rnacentral:rRNA from 1 species